rnacentral:rRNA from 1 species
UACGAGGGGUGCAAGCGUUGCUCGGAAUUAUUGGGCGUAAAGGGUAGGUAGGUGGUCUCGUUUGUCUGGGGUGAAAGCCUUGAGCUUAACUCAAGAAGUGCCCUAGAAACGGCGAGACUAGAGUCUUGGAGAGGGUCGUGGAAUUCCCGGUGUAGCGGUGAAAUGCGUAGAGAUCGGGAGGAACACCAGAGGCGAAGGCGGCGACCUGGACAAGUACUGACGAUCAGGCACGAAAGCGUGGGGAGCAAACAGGG